rnacentral:rRNA from 1 species
UACGGGGGGGGCAAGCGUUGUUCGGAAUUACUGGGCGUAAAGGGCGCGUAGACGGCCUACUAAGUCGGACGUGAAAUCCCUCGGCUCAACCGAGGAACUGCGUCCGAUACUGGUGGGCUUGAAUCCGGGAGAGGGAUGUGGAAUUCCAGGUGUAGCGGUGAAAUGCGUAGAUAUCUGGAGGAACACCGGUGGCGAAGGCGGCAUCCUGGACCGGCAUUGACGCUGAGGCGCGAAAGCUAGGGGAGCAAACGGG